CACGUAGUUAGCCGGUACUUCUUCUGCAGGUACCGUCACCCGAAGGCUUCUUCCCUACUGAAAGAGGUUUACAACCCGAAGGCCGUCAUCCCCCACGCGGCGUCGCUGCAUCAGGGUUUCCCCCAUUGUGCAAUAUUCCCCACUGCUGCCUCCCGUAGGAGUCUGGGCCGUGUCUCAGUCCCAGUGUGGCCGGUCGCCCUCUCAGGCCGGCUACCCGUCGUCGCCUUGGUAGGCCAUCACCCCACCAACAAGCUGAUAGGCCGCGAGCCCAUCCCCAACCGAAAAACUUUCCACCACCACUCCAUGCGGAGAAUGGUCAUAUCCGGUAUUAGACCCAGUUUCCCGGGCUUAUCCCAGAGUCAGGGGCAGGUUACUCACGUGUUACUCACCCGUUCGCCACUCAUCCACCCACAGCAAGCUGCAGGCUUCAGCGUUCGACUUGCAUGUGUUAAGCACGCCGCCAGCGUUCGUCCUGAGCCAGGAUCAAACUCU
rnacentral:rRNA from 1 species